UACGUAGGGAGCAAGCGUUGUCCGGAAUCAUUGGGCGUAAAGCGCGCGUAGGUGGCCCCAUAAGUCCGCUGUGAAAGUCAAAGGCUCAACCUUUGAAAGCCGGUGGAUACUGUGGGACUAGAGUACGGAAGAGGCGAGUGGAAUUCCUGGUGUAGCGGUGGAAUGCGCAGAUAUCAGGAGGAACACCAAUAGCGAAGGCAGCUCGCUGGGACGUUACUGACACUGAGGCACGAAAGCCAGGGGAGCGAACGGG
rnacentral:rRNA from 1 species